UACGUAGGGUGCGAGCGUUAAUCGGAAUUACUAGGCGUAAAGCGUGCGCAGGCGGCUUCGCAAGUCAGACGUGAAAUCCCCGGGCUUAACCUGGGAAUGGCGUUUGAAACUACGGAGCUGGAGUGUGGCAGAGGGAGGUAGAAUUCCACGUGUAGCGGUGAAAUGCGUAGAUAUCCGGAGGAAUACCAAAGGCGAAGGCAGUGUCCUGGCUGGCAUCUGACGCUGAGGCGCGAAAGCUAGGGGAGCGAACAGG
rnacentral:rRNA from 1 species